rnacentral:lncRNA from 1 species
CUCCAAGAAUCUUGGAGAUUUCAUCGUAUUUUACCAGGGUCUUCCUCAGCUCACGCGCCACCACGAGGAAGACCCUGGCACAGAAUUUUGUGACGAGGUUGAGUUGAUAGUUGAUACUUGAUACAGUUGAUUGUCUCAUAAAAGUUGUACAAAUUUUGCGUGAUUUUUGCUGGAUGUUACUUUAAUUUUGGCAAUUUAUAUCGAAGUGUGUGGUUUCUAGACUGUAUAAUAGCUACCAGUUACAAAUGGACAACAACAAGGUGGACAAACAGUUGCAAGAAGCGCUCUUGGUUGAACAGCAAAAGGCGAAAUUUCAAACUCAAGUUCACAUGUUCACAGACACGUGUUGGGAGAAAUGCAUUGAUAAACCAGGAAAUAAGCUCGAUUCAAGGACGGAAUCAUGUAUUGUUAAUUGUGUAGAAAGAUUUAUUGAUACUUCGGUUUUUCUGGCAACACGUUUUGGACAAAAAGCUGGUAUGUAGCAGGAUAUUGGGAAAUAUCGAACAUGUGAGUCAGUGGAUACAGGGACUGCAUGUCUGAUCAAGAUCCGGAUCGAUGUUACAUUUAUUGACGUUUCAUUACAAAUGUUUUACCAAAAGUAACAUAAAUAUUCAACAAUAUUACCAAAAGUAACAUAAAUAUUCAACAAUAUGAAAAUUAAAGUAAACUUGUGUAAUAUUUCUGUGGCAAAUAUGUGAGCCUAGGCAAAAAAAAAUAUGUGGGUUUCCUAUUUCUUCUUGUAAAAACUUAGGUAGGGUAGGUCGGUUUUAAUUUUUUUU